UCUGUCAUUCCAUUUUGGAAGCUUCUCCACGGCCUCAGGUCAAUGCAGUGUUCUCCUGGGGGUCAGUGCCUGGCAGCACAGAAAGUCUGGAAUUCUCAGCAGCCAGAACUCCAACAGCUUAGGAUUUAGAUGAUAAAAUCAAUGGUUUGGGUUGGAAAGGACCUUAGAGAUCAUCUUGUUCCACGGCCUGCCAUGGCCAGGGACACCUCCUACUAUCCCAGGCUGCUCCAAGCCCUGUCCAGCCUUGGACAAUUCCUUGGACACAACCUCUGUUCCAGGGAAUGCUGGCAGGUUUGGCUCUGUGCAUCAUACCACAAAAAUCUCACUCCUCCAGAAGAAGGCAAAUACACGGAGGAGCUUUCUACCAGGCUGAUCUCUGAGGGUGUCCUGCGGUCAACUCUCCAUUUGGAUGAGUUACCUGGGAAGGAACAUGAGUGGAAUUCCAGCGAGAGAAAGAAGGAUGUCUGCAGGAGGAGCUACCCAAGAGUAGUAAUUUAAAAUAUAUUCCAACUCACAAAUAUUUGAAGGAUUUUUCCAAACAUAACUCACAAGGGUUGCUGUGCUUAUUAAAUGCUUGUUAAGAAACUGCACAGCGCCUUGUCGCUGAGUUUUGACUGGGAAUCAUUAACACCCACUCAGUAACAUUUCACAUUCCAGGC